rnacentral:rRNA from 1 species
CUAGUAAUCGCGGAUCAGAAUGCCGCGGUGAAUACGUUCCCGGGUCUUGUACACACCGCCCGUCACACCAUGGGAGUCGGAAAUGCCCGAAGUCUGUGACCCAACCUGAGAGGGAGGGAGCAGCCGAAGGCAGGUCUGAUGACUGGGGUGAAGUCGUAACAAGGUAUC